GCAGUCCUAAAUAUAGUUCAAAUAGGUAAAAGUUUCACAGUCCAAUUCAGUAAACGAGAUUUUAACUAGACAGUCUUGAUUCAAGGUAAUUUAAACACAAUAGACUAAGCAGCUACACAGAAAGCGAAAAUGAACUGGACAUGGUAAAAUGCUCCAACAAGCUCCAGUAUUGCUACUGUGUUUCCAUUUCAAUUAAGGAGAUUACAUUGAAAUUAUUUGAUAGUGUACAUGGAUUUCAAUAGAACAAAGAACAACAGGAGUCAGCAUCAACUUAGUACAGCAGGCCAAUGUAAUUCUAGUUAGAUCCAAAUGCACAACCCAGAAAAAGUUCGAAAACCAACAACAACAGCAAGUAAUCAAACAAAGGGACUCAAUUGAACUUGAAACACACCCAAAAUAGAAGCUGUAAUCUACAGAGUAAUUUAAGCACACGUCUAGGUGAUCAACACAAGACCAUGAAAUCCAAAUUUACCCCAAUUUUAACCCCAGCUAACGUUAGACCACUUGAAUAGUACCACACUACUUCAAUAAACCCAAAACCUAACGGAAACUAUAAAAGUGAGAGGAAAACUAGCUGAAAAAUAGAAUCAGAUCUGCAGAAUUCUCAAUGAAACAAUAUAUAUCUUUUUUUGAUUUUUUCAGUUUUUUGUUUGUUUUUGUUUUUUUUUGAAAUUCAAAUCUCACAUUAAGUAUGAUAAAGUUAAAGAGGGAUAGUUUGGGUGGAGUUGUAUGGCUGAAAAAAAGACCCCUCUCUAAG
rnacentral:lncRNA from 1 species